ACACUAGCGCUUGUGGCCAACGUUCUGCUGUGGCACCUGCUGUGGGAGGAAGAAGGGAUUUGGAGUGCUCCCCCCGGCUCUGUCCCUGGAAGUUUGAAUGGGGGAAGAAGAAGGCAGGAAGCUGUUUUCCCAGCACUUCCCACCUCCUGGAGAGGCUUCUGCUUGUCCAGGAAGGGGAGUUAACCCUUUCUCGCCUCCUAGGCAGGAGGCAAAACACUAAGUUGUGGCAGCAGUGGCUCAGGCAGUUCUUAUGGUCAACAAUCAUUGGGGGAGCUACAGCAGCCCCAGGAUUAAGACCUUCUGCCUAGCUGAGCCAACAGUGGUCACUGAGCACGUGCCAGGAGGGAGCAAGGAUAAUUCCUUGUCCCAAAUUCAAGUGGGCCAACCUGUGCUGGUUAAUCUGCUCUCUAGUGGGGUUGUGCUCAUGAUACUGGCUAAGCCCAGGGGCUUAUAGGCCUGGGAAGCCCUGGAUGCUAAUGGGAGGACCCACUGCAUAAGUGUGAGGUGAGUUGUCCCCAGCUAUUAAUUGCUAAGCCCGGCUACUACGUGCCGAGGCAAGUUUCUCUCUUUGCAGGACUGAGGCCAGGCCGAGGACCAGAUUCCGGGACAUGGACCAGUACCUGACCAGCACCUGGGAGAGGAAGGACCAUCUACACAGGAGACGGAGGCACAUCACACCGAUGUGGCCAGUGGAUGAUGGCGUCAGGACUUGGAAAGCAUGACCUCCAGCCAUGGACUCAAAGCAGCAGCUGUGUCUACAGGCACUUUGGACUUCGGCGGGUUUCGUUCGCGUCUGACUUAAUGCCGCGUGGAUCCACAACGGGAUAUUGCUUGCAGUUUCAGAGGCUGCCGCAGAGAAAUUCAGCAGGGAUCACUGCUAAAGUCCUGCUUCACCUCUCCAGUUAGCUCCCAACUACAUCAGCAGCUCAGAGCAGGACUGAGAAGAAAACCCUCAACCCAUGUGCUGCAGGACAGAUGGAGGGGCAAAGAAACCAGUGGUCAUACUCCUGGUGGCUAAGAGGGGGAGCAACUCCGACCUGCGUCUGUAGUGUUAUUGUUGUUGUUAUUUUUGCUAUUAAUAAAAUACAAUCAUUUCUGUUAUCA